rnacentral:rRNA from 1 species
GAUGAACGCUGGCGGCGUGCCUAAUACAUGCAAGUCGAGCGAACAGACGAGGAGCUUGCUCCUCUGACGUUAGCGGCGGACGGGUGAGUAACACGUGGAUAACCUACCUAUAAGACUGGGAUAACUUCGGGAAACCGGAGCUAAUACCGGAUAAUAUAUUUAACCGCAUGGUUCAAUAGUGAAAGACGGUUUUGCUGUCACUUAUAGAUGGAUCCGCGCCGCAUUAGCUAGUUGGUAAGGUAACGGCUUACCAAGGCAACGAUGCGUAGCCGACCUGAGAGGGUGAUCGGCCACACUGGAACUGAGACACGGUCCAGACUCCUACGGGAGGCAGCAGUAGGGAAUCUUCCGCAAAGGGCGAAAGCCUGACGGAGCAACGCCGCGUGAGUGAUGAAGGUCUUCGGAUCGUAAAACUCUGUUAUUAGGGAAGAACAAAUGUGUAAGUAACUAUGCACGUCUUGACGGUACCUAAUCAGAAAGCCACGGCUAACUACGUG